GCCAUACCUGCAGCAUAUGGAGGUUGCCAGGCUAGGGGUCAAACUGGAGCUACAGCCACCUGCCUACACCACAGCCACAGGAGCAUCAGAUCCAAGCCACGUCUGCGACCUACACCACAGCUCACGGCAACGCUGGAUCCUUAACACACUGAGCGAGACCAGGGAUUGAACCUGCAUCCUCAUGGAUACUAGUUGGGUUCAUUCAUGCUGAGCUACGACAACAAUGCUCAAGGGCAUGGAGGAAGGAGGAGGGAGAGAGGGAAAGGGGAGAGAGAAGAGGAGGGAGACUGAGGGAGCACAAAGGAGAGAGAGGAGAAGGCACAGAGAGAGAAACACCUUUUCAGAAACAUGGGCCUGUGGUCCACGCAACCUCCUGCUCAACCUGCUGUAGGCCUGUGACGAAUGGGCCGGUUCAGAGGUAACCUUACCUGUGGGGCAGAGUGACUUCCAAAACAAGCGCCAUUUAGACAGACCCCAGGCAGUGUUUACGCCCGGAAGGUAUUUAUUCAGUAACUGAAUUUCCCUAAUACACAGUGUCUGUGUGCGAGGGGUCUGCUUUCACACUUGCUUGGCACCUGCCACCUGUAACAUCUCUGAAACAUAAAGAGCCUGGAGUUUGCUUGGGCGUUUGGCCAGCACAUACACAGGACCAGCACUGGGGAGUCCCUGCUGAACAAGAGCAGGGGAAGGGCCCAACUAAGAGAAGGCAGGUGCGCCUGUGCUGGCGGGCAUUGGCUAUUUCUGCUCUCACAGGUGGGCUCGCCAAAAAAACCAGCCUCGAAAUUUUGGAUCAGUUCUUUUAGUGGGGAUGGGCAAAGGUAAGACUCGCACCCAUCGCCCACCCCCGCACCGUUCUGUGUGUAUUUUAGUCACUGCAGGGAGUGGGGAGGGAGAGAGAAGCUGUCCGCCCAGUAAUUUUGUGGCUAUAGGAUAGGUAGGUAAGUGGGUAGUUAGUAAGGAUAAAAAUGUAAGUAGGUAGUUGGUAAGGAUAAACAGAUAGGUAGGUAGUUAGUAAGGAUAGUUAGGUAAAUAGGUAGCUGGUAAGGAUAAACAAGUAGGUAGUUGUAAGGAUAGUUAGGUAAGUAGGCACGUAGGAGGGAUCUCAAAACCACUUACUCCCUAAAGGGCCAGAUGGCUCAAAGCAAGCAAAAAAGAUGUGGGCUCAGAAGGCAAAGUCCGCAUCCAGAAGCUCCUGCAUUUCACCCCCGGCAGGAAGAGCCCUGAACGUGUCUGCCUCCCUGAUCACGCAGCUCAACAAGUUCGGUGACCAGCCGUGGAUUACUAGAGAGGACAGGUGAGUUACUUUUGUGAAAAGCUGAAAGCCUUCUUUGGGGUCAGGACUGGCAGGGGGCGGGAUGUGAUCAAAACCCAGGCGGGAGGGGGCGUUUAGGGCGGGUUAAGACCCCACGGAGCGCAGCGCGAGGGCGCCUGAGCUCAGCCCUGCCUGCCUUUAUAAUCCCUGACACUAGACGCCACCCUCUUCAACGACCGCCCGCCCGAAAGGAGAAAAGAAAGAGACAACGCCACACAUGAAACCCCUCGACACACGGCCCCAAAGCCACAAGGAAGGGAAUGAAAAGGAACGCUGAGCAUCAGAAAGAGCGACACAAGCAUGUGCAGGAAACCCGGACCUUCCGUGGGAGAUGUGCUGGCUCAGGUAACAGGUAGAGUCAAGCGGGACAGGUUGGCAGGUUCCGUAGCACCAGGAGCAAGGUGGGAGCUCAAGGUGGAAGGGACGUGGACUCAAGUGUGGGAAAGGCUGGGACUGCAGAGUCCAGCAGCGCCGGCUCAGAGGCGGGCUCCACGCCCGGGGGCCACCGUACCACCUGCCUAAGGCUCCCUCCCAGUGAGGCUGACCUUGAGGAUGGCCAGAGACCACGCAAGUGCCAGGCAGGUGGCCGGCCCGAGCAGGCACGUCGCCACCCCCACUAUUGUGGCUGUUACUGUUAUUCCAGGCGUCAGGCAGCUUUUAAGAGGCCAGCAGAACAGUGAGCCUUUGAGAUGUGUUUACUUCCUUCUCUGUUUCCCAACUGUGGUCUCUCCUGCCCUCAAACAGAACUAAGAAAGGGACAAGCUUAUGCCACAGUCCUCCAAGAAGGGACAAAGUAAAAGUGAGUUGCAGCCACAUGUGUGAUUAACCGCACAUCCCAAAUGGCCCUGCCCGCCAAGAAGCUUGGAGCCAAAUUUCAAAUUCCACAUACCAACCCCAUUAACCCGUACGGCUAACAAACGACACUUUUCUAACAACCUACAUCUCCCUUUUGUCCUCGUUUUGCAUUUCUGCUUACACUGUUGGAAUGUCUAUUGUUAGAAGCCCAUCCCAAAUCCUUUUUUUUUUUUUUGGAAUGAAGCAGAGAAUAAGUAAAUACAUAAAGAAUGAAGGAUUCUGAGCUUUCUGCCGGGUGAGGAUCAAAUUAUUAAACCUGGCCCCCUUCCCAUGGCAGUGGGUCCUCCCAGAUGCACACUGCACCCCUCCAGCCAAUCGCUGGCACGCCCAUAAACAGUCACUUCUUUAAGGUCAAAACAAAUACAUAAAUUUAAACGCCCAUAUCUUUUAUACACACACAUGCUGCUAACUAAGGGCUUUUCCUAAUAACCAAGCAGUUGCACGGCAAAGAGAAAAAAAAGCAGCAUCUCCAACAACAAAAAAAGCAGGUCACAAUAAAAAUUAGAGGAGAGGACACAAAAUUGUUGCCAUUCCAGCAACUAAGGAAAGUAUGUAUCUGUUAACACGCCAUCAGCGGUGUGUAACCCUUCUCAGGAAUCGGGAAACACCCAGAGGGACCAGACUGGGGCAGGGUGGGGUGGGGGUCGAGGGAGAGGACAGGGAAGGAAGCGGGGGGCGGGGGGGACUUUGCCGUUAAAGGGCACCGGGGUGUUGGUUUUUAGAGAAUGAAAACGAUGACACCUGCUCCCUUAUUCUAGACGACGAGGCUGAACUCUCAGGGCUAUUUAUCCUCUUCCGCCUUCCUCAGUCUUCUUCCCGUUUCCUGCUCACUUCCAGGGCUAUCGUUUCCCAAACCGAUGGUCACCCAUGAGAGGUGUGGGCUCGGAUGGAAAAUCCCCAACUACAAGUCUGUCCUGAGGUGAACCCAGCAGGCAGGUCAACGGCAAAACCACGCUUUGGCACCGAGGGCGUGGGGUCUGUUAUUGCAGCAAGUAUGUUUCUGAUGCAAAUUCCCUGAUGACCCAGCAAAUUGUUUAUCUAACUUAAACGUAACUGUUUCCCCAAAGUCGGUCAACCUGCGGCGUUAUUCCUUCCAGGUGUAGGCUCUGUCACCUCCUCCCCACAGGAAAAGCUGCAGCCUCUCCUCUGCUGGGAGACUUAAGGCGCCUGGGGGGUAGGAAUUCAGUGAGAAGGGGUGAUUUAUAAUAGAUCUGAAUGCUGAUCUGCACCAAUAACAAGCCGGGGGUGGGGUGGGGUGGGGGUGAAGGGGCCAGGGUUGAUUUAGUGAUCCCCUCGCAUGGAAGGAGGACCUUAUGACAAACAACUGCCUCGGUCACAGGAGUCAAAGCAGUUAUGGCCUGGAGCCAGCAGGGCAUUCUUUUCUCAUGUAUAAACAACAUUUAUCAUUUCAUCUCGAAAAAUAUUUGCCCUUAAUAUUUGGUAGAGACGCACGCAAAGGCUGCCUCUGGUCCUCCCACUAAUACCCCCCUAGAGCCAAGUGGUUGGGAUGUUUUUUAGCACAGACCAUACAUAAUAGCAUCUCUACCCAAAGCAACUUAUCCACUGAGAAUAUCAGCAAAAAGAGUUGGGUGGGUUUAGGUUGGAGGAGGAAGCCAUCUUCGUUUUCAAAAAAAAAAAAAAAUAGAUACAGUUAAGGUAAAUUUUAUGGGUAAUUAGAAUGAGGUUGAAUCUCAACUUUACUGAGAUCAAAUUCACAUGCCAUCAAAUUCACCCAUUUCAAGUACAAUUCAAUGGUCUUUAGUAUAUUCACAUUUACCACUGGUAUUCCGUAUAUUCACAUGCAACUGUGAAACCAUCACUACAGUUUGUAAUUUUAGAACCUUUCUGUUCCCUCCCCCCAAAUAAAACUCUGUGCUUAUGAACAGUCAGCUCCCAUUUCUCUCUUUUUCCCCCAACAACCUCUGGUUUACUUUCCAUCCCUCUAAAUUUGCCUGUUCUGGACAUUUCAUACAUAUGGAGUCAGGCAGGAUCUGUCUUCUGCGUCUGUCUUCUUUCACUCAGCCUAACAUUUUCAGGCUGCAGCCCGUCUGCGUGUUUCAUUCCUUUUUGUUGCCGAAUAACCUCCACCGGAUGCCCGGGCUGCGUGGCUUCAUCCACUCCUCAGCUGAUGGACGUCCGAGUGCUCCCUCUCUUCCGCUCCCACGAACAUCCACAGACACGUUUUUGUGGGGACACGUUUUCCUUCCCCUUGGGUAUGUACUUCGGGGUAGAAUCCCG
rnacentral:lncRNA from 1 species